UGAUUCCCUUUUUUAUAGUGGCUUAAAUUCAUCCUGAGUUUCCAAAAAAGUGUUUACUUUUUUGAACUACUCACAGGUCCUCCAGGGAUAUACCAAAUCAACACACAGCUACCGAAUGCCCGGGCUUACGUGGAGAGCUACACCUGCACAGGCCGUGCUGGAGUCACUGGCCUGCGGAGCCCGUCUGGUUCGGGCAAGAGCUUCUGGACUUCCAACUAGGAGGUGCUACUGCCGGGCUGUACUUGCAGAUGGAGAAGACAGGACAGGAGAAUUUGGCCCGCUUGUUGAUAAUAAAAAGGCCCUAGGAAAGAAGAAAAUUGGGAGGGAUAAGGGAGCAUUCGGGUCUGCAAGGGCACAGACAACCCAUUCAGAAAUAGUAAAAGACCUUCUGGUACGGCAAGGAACUUAAAAUAGGUUCAGUAAGACCUCCAGCACACUCUGGCAUGAAUGGUCUUUGAACUUAGGGAAGAAGCCACUGGAUUUCAGUUGGUGGCAGAGCAGAUGGAAGAGGAAGAAGAAAGAGCGAAUUCUCCUGGAGUCAAGAGUGUUUGACUGUAUUUCAGGAAAACAGGCUAACUGCUCUCUCUUGAUGAGUUGUGGCUGGGAGGUGCUAUUUGCAGGGACCGCAGGAGUCUCAGGUAAUGCGAACAGGCUGGGAGGUUUGAAUUGAACCUUUCACACUGAUCAGAGUGGCAUCCGAUUGUUAGCUGUACUUGCCAAUUCCCCUCAAGCGGGAUCGCACAUCUUCUGUCAGAUUCAUCACCAACACCUUUGAGAAAACGUCUUCAGUGGGCAAUUCUCUUAGAAGACCAUUAAAAUAAUAAUCAGGAUGCCUGGGUGGCUCAGCAGUUGAGCAUCUGCCUUCGGCUCUGGUCAUGGUCCCGGGGUCCUGGGAUCGAGUCCCGCAUCGGGCUCCUGCUUCUCCCUCUGCCUGUGUCUCUGCCUCUCUCUCUGUGUGUCUCUCAUGAACAAAUAAGUAAAAUCUUUAAAAAAAAAAAAAAAGACCAUUAAAAUAAGACACAGAAAAGAUCUACCACCACAGUGGCAUCUGUUGACUCUGCAGCACCUUCCCCCUUCCCCUCUCCCUUGGGUGCCUUGUUUCUCCCCUUUGGAACCAACACUGACAGGGUAACCAUGCUUUCCAGGCCUGGACACAUACUUGCCAUCCAGGGAAGAUGGAUGAACCACCUCACCUCUGGCUCUGAGGUCUGCCCCCCCUUUGGAGCUGGUCGGUUUUCCAUUCCCGGCCAGCCCACCCUGCUUUCUGCUCUGGUGUCAGGGGCUGGCCCCACCCUGCAUCUGCCCACGUGCUCACCUGACCCCUUGCACGUGGUCACUAACAAGGGAGCCCUAGCUGUGCUCCCAUGCCACCCUCUCGAUGCUGAGCCCUCCACCUCACACAGUGACAC
rnacentral:lncRNA from 1 species